GGUAGUCUCGCACAGAUGCAUAUCAAUAAGCGGAGGAAAAGAAACUAACAAGGAUUCCCCUAGUAACGGCGAGUGAAGCGGGAAGAGCUCAAAUUUGAAAUCUUAAAGGGUUUCCCUUUACGAAUUGUAGUUUAAAGAAGUGUUUUCUGUUGAGGUUUUGGUAAAAGUUCUUUGGAAUAGGACAUCAUAGAGGGUGAGAAUCCCGUAUUUGACCUUUACUUUCAACUUUGUGAUACACUUUCAAAGAGUCGGAUUGUUUGGGAAUGCAGUCCAAAAUGGGUGGUAAAUUUCAUCUAAAGCUAAAUAUUGGCGAGAGACCGAUAGCGAACAAGUACCGUGAGGGAAAGAUGAAAAGAACUUUGAAAAGAGAGUUAAACAGGUACGUGAAAUUGUCAAAAGGGAAGCGUUUGACACCAGUGUUGUUUUUCUGAAAAUCAAUUAAAGAACUGUUUAUGCUAAGCUGUUUAGACUUUAUCAGCUAACUGUUUAGUUUUGAGCUUUUCUUUAAUGCACUUUUCAGUUAACAAGUCAACAUCAAUUUCUUUUGCUGUAAAAAAGCUUGAGGAAGGUGGCUUGAGAUUCGUCUUAAGUGUUUAUAGCCUCUUGCCUAUGCAGUCGGAGAGAUUGAGGUCUGCAGCGUAGAUCCUUCGGGGCUAAAUGCAUUUGUGCUAAGUUAUAGCAUUUUAUAGACAACUUGUUGACUAUGAUUUGUCUUGUAGCUUACUCGCUUAUGUUAUUUUACCUACGCUUAGGAUGUUGAUGUGAUACUGCGAGCA
rnacentral:rRNA from 1 species